rnacentral:rRNA from 1 species
GACGAACGCUGGCGGCGUGCUUAACACAUGCAAGUCGAACGAAGUGGCGAACGGGUGAGUAACGCGUAAUCAACCUGCCCUUCAGAGGGGGACAACAGUUGGAAACGACUGCUAAUAUCGCAUACUGAAGGAGGGGAUUGCGUCUGAUUAGCUAGUUGGAGGGGUAACGGCCCACCAAGGCGAUGAGCAGGAGGCGGGUUGAGCGGAUGGACGGCCACAUUGGGACUGGAGCACGGCCCAGACUCCUCAGGGAGGCAGGAGUGGGGAAUCUUCCGCAAAGGACGAAAGUCUGACGGAGCAACGCCGGGUGAGGGAUGAAGGCCUGGAGGUUGUAAAGCUUGGUUAAUCGGGACGCGGUACCGGAAUAGAAAGCCACGGCUAACUACGUGCCAGCAGCCGCGGUAAUUC